CUUCAGCGAACAUUCAACGCUGUCGGUGAGUUUUAAGAUAAAUGUACGAAACCAUCGACCGUUGAUUGUACCCUGUGG
rnacentral:pre_miRNA from 1 species